GGGGAAUAUUGCACAAUGGGCGCAAGCCUGAUGCAGCGACGCCGCGUGAGGGAUGAAGGCCUUCGGGUUGUAAAUCUCUUUCGUCAGGGAACAAGGCACUGCUUUUGGUGGUGUUGAGGGUACCUGGAUAAGAAGCGCCGGCUAACUACGUGCCAGCAGCCGCGGUAAUACGUAGGGCGCAAGCGUUGUCCGGAAUUAUUGGGCGUAAAGAGCUCGUAGGCGGCUGGUCGCGUCUGUCGUGAAAACUUCCGGCUCAACCGGGGGCUUGCGGUGGGUACGGGCCGGCUAGAGUGCGGUAGGGGUAACUGGAACUCCUGGUGUAGCGGUGGAAUGCGCAGAUAUCAGGAAGAACACCGAUGGCGAAGGCAGGUUACUGGGCCGUUACUGACGCUGAGGAGCGAAAGCGUGGGGAGCGAACAGGAUUAGAUACCCUGGUAGUCCACGCCGUAAACGUUGGGCACUAGGUGUGAGGCUCCUUUCCGGGGGUUUUGCGCCGUAGCUAACGCAUUAAGUGCCCCGCCUGGGGAGUACGGCCGCAAGGCUA
rnacentral:rRNA from 1 species